rnacentral:rRNA from 1 species
AUUGAACGCUGGCGGCAGGCUUAACACAUGCAAGUCGAGCGGGGAUAGGGUGCUUGCACCUGAUUCCUAGCGGCGGACGGGUGAGUAAUGCUUAGGAAUCUGCCUAUUAGUGGGGGACAACAUUCCGAAAGGGAUGCUAAUACCGCAUACGCCCUACGGGGGAAAGCAGGGGAUCUUCGGACCUUGCGCUAAUAGAUGAGCCUAAGUCGGAUUAGCUAGUUGGUGGGGUAAAGGCCUACCAAGGCGACGAUCUGUAGCGGGUCUGAGAGGAUGAUCCGCCACACUGGGACUGAGACACGGCCCAGACUCCUACGGGAGGCAGCAGUGGGGAAUAUUGGACAAUGGGGGGAACCCUGAUCCAGCCAUGCCGCGUGUGUGAAGAAGGCCCUUUUGGUUGUAAAGCACUUUAAGCGAGGAGGAGGCGCUCUAG